rnacentral:tRNA from 1 species
GGUAAGAUGGCCGAAACAGGUGCCGGGUUGUAGCCUCGGUUAUAAAGGUCAAUUCCUUUUCUUGCCA